rnacentral:rRNA from 1 species
GACGAACGCUGGCGGCGUGCUUAACACAUGCAAGUCGAACGGAAAGGCCCUGCUUUUGUGGGGUGCUCGAGUGGCGAACGGGUGAGUAACACGUGAGUAACCUGCCCUUGACUUUGGGAUAACUUCAGGAAACUGGGGCUAAUACCGGAUAGGAGCUCCUGCUGCAUGGUGGGGGUUGGAAAGUUUCGGCGGUUGGGGAUGGACUCGCGGCUUAUCAGCUUGUUGGAGGGGUAGUGGCUACCAAGGCUUUGACGGGUAGCCGGCCUGAGAGGGUGACCGGCCACAUUGGGACUGAGAUACGGCCCAGACUCCUACGGGAGGCAGCAGUGGGGAAUAUUGCACAAUGGGCGGAAGCCUGAUGCAGCAACGCCGCGUGCGGGAUGACGGCCUUCGGGUUGUAAACCGCUUUCGCCUGUGACGAAGCGUGAGUGACGGUAAUGGGUAAAGAAGCACCGGCUAACUACGUG